ensembl:lncRNA FOXP4-AS1 FOXP4 antisense RNA 1
CUAGUGCUACCAUAAUUCGCCUAAAGCAGGUGCAGCAACUUUCACCCCGCCUGGCAGCCCGCUGAGAGCGAGAGAAAACCACGUGCACCAAACUUUAGGGGAGGAAAAAUGGGAACGUGGGGAGAAGACGUGAGGCGGCAGAUCUGAAAAAGAUGGAGAUUAGCUCCGUUUGACAAGGCAGUGAACUUUGGGAGGG